GCCUUACCCAGUUACAUUAAGCAAGUUACCACAUUUCCCAUCUAUAAAACAGUGAUGGAUGGUGAUAAUAAAAAUAAUAUGGUUGCCAGGUGCGGUGGCUCAUGCCUGUAAUCCCAGCACUUUGGGAGGCCUAGGCGGACGGAUCACUUGAGGUCAGGAAUUCGAGAACAGCCUGGCCAACCUGGUGAAACCCUGUCUCUACUAAAAAUACAAAAAUUAGCUGGGCGUGGUGAUUCUUGCUCUAACUGGCUAGCAUUGAAGGUCUAAGUGUCAGUUCUAACACAGGGGCAAGUCAUUUAACCCUCCUUGAACCUGUUUCCUUUCUGCAAAUGAGGUCAACACCCACCCACCUCCUGUGGUAGUUGGGAGGAUUCGGGGACCUAACAUAUAUGUAAGUUCUUUGUAAGCUACAAGGCACAGCCCCAACAGGAGUUGUCACCAUGCAGUGCAGUGGAACUAGAGGAGGAUGGAAGAGCCUGACCUCUGGUCCUGCACGUGUCCACCCUCCUGCGGAUGAUCCCAACCAUGGCAGAGGACAAAGAGAGAGUCAGCACUGGAACCAAGUUUGCCCUCAAGCUCUGGCUGCAACAUCUGGGCAGGUAAAAGUGAAAAAGGACUGGAGAGCUCCACAGUACUGGGCUGGAAUGGUCUAGUUUUUACAGGCACGGGGGAAAGCAGGGAAGGACAACCUCUCUUGGAAUU
rnacentral:lncRNA from 1 species